UGCCCAGCAACUCCUAUCCCUACCUCCUCGUGGUACUGGCCGGGGUACGAGUAAACUUGGGGAGAAGA
rfam:Aedes aegypti strain Liverpool supercont1.107 genomic scaffold, whole genome shotgun sequence.